UGGCUCAGGAUGAACGCUAGCGGGAGGCCUAACACAUGCAAGUCGAACGGGAUCCCCGAGCAAUCGGGGUGAGAGUGGCGCACGGGUGAGUAACGCGUAUGCAACCUGCCUUUAACAGAGGGAUAGCCCAUAGAAAUGUGGAUUAAUACCUCAUAGUUCUAUUAGACCGCAUGGUUUGAUAGAUAAAGCUCCGGCGGUUAAAGAUGGGCAUGCGUGACAUUAGCUAGUUGGUGAGGUAACGGCUCACCAAGGCAACGAUGUCUAGGGGUUCUGAGAGGAUGAUCCCCCACACUGGUACUGAGACACGGACCAGACUCCUACGGGAGGCAGCAGUGAGGAAUAUUGGUCAAUGGGCGCAAGCCUGAACCAGCCAUCCCGCGUGCAGGAUGAAGGCCCUAUGGGUCGUAAACUGCUUUUAUACACCAAGAAAAAUCCCGACGUGUCGGGACCCGACGGUAGUGUAUGAAUAAGCAUCGGCUAACUCCGUGCCAGCAGCCGCGGUAAUACGGAGGAUGCAAGCGUUAUCCGGAUUCAUUGGGUUUAAAGGGUGCGUAGGCGGCUUUUUAAGUCAGUGGUGAAAUCUUGCCGCUUAACGGUAAAAUUGCCAUUGAUACUGAGGAGCUUGAGUCCAGUUGAGGUAAGCGGAAUGUGUAGUGUAGCGGUGAAAUGCUUAGAUAUUACACAGAACACCGAUUGCGAAGGCAGCUUACUAAACUGUCACUGACGCUGAUGCACGAAAGCGUGGGGAGCGAACAGGAUUAGAUACCCUGGUAGUCCACGCCGUAAACGAUGAUCACUCGCUGUAUGCGAUACACAGUAUGCGGCCAAGCGAAAGCAUUAAGUGAUCCACCUGGGGAGUACGAUCGCAAGGGUGA
rnacentral:rRNA from 1 species